rnacentral:lncRNA from 1 species
ACUUUGUGGGGCCAGUCAUGGUGAAAUCUGUUUGCAGAAGAAAACUUUCUGAUACUUUCCCCCCCCAGAUACUGCUUUACUGGUUUAUGACUAAUUGAAAAACGGAUUCAUGCCUGAAGUUUUCUACCACUGCCUCUCUGUGGAUGAACCCAAGCUGCACCCUCACUGGAUGACUGCCAAGACUAUGGGAUGGCAGCAAUCUGUGAUGGAUCCAGUGUCCUGGAAUAAUCUCUUAUCUUCCAUAUGACUGGUGUUGGAGGUGGAAAGAAAGAACUGAGAGUCCUGCAGGAGAAUACAUCAAGUAAAAGAGCAGCUUCUGCUGGAGUGAAGCAGAUGUGAUGUAAUGUUGCUUUCCAGGUUGAAAAACUCCUACCUAGAGAAUUUCCUGAGCAUAAGGAUUGGAAAUAAAAAAAAUGCACUGCCUGUCAUAAAACAGUUUACCUGGGAGAAAACAAUAACGGCACUGAGGCAACUGUACAGUUACAUUUCUU